rnacentral:rRNA from 1 species
GUGAACGCUGGCGGUAGGCCUAACACAUGCAAGUCGAACGGCAGCACAGUAAGAGCUUGCUCUUACGGGUGGCGAGUGGCGGACGGGUGAGGAAUACAUCGGAAUCUACUUUUUCGUGGGGGAUAACGUAGGGAAACUUACGCUAAUACCGCAUACGACCUACGGGUGAAAGCAGGGGAUCUUCGGACCUUGCGCGAUUGAAUGAGCCGAUGUCGGAUUAGCUAGUUGGCGGGGUAAAGGCCCACCAAGGCGACGAUCCGUAGCUGGUCUGAGAGGAUGAUCAGCCACACUGGAACUGAGACACGGUCCAGACUCCUACGAGAGGCAGCAGUGGGGAAUAUUGGACAAUGGGCGCAAGCCUGAUCCAGCCAUACCGCGUGGGUGAAGAAGGCCUUCGGGUUGUAAAGCCCUUUUGUUGGGAAAGAAAAGCAGCAGGUUAAUACCCCGCUGUUCUGACGGUACCCAAAGAAUAAGCACCGGCUAACUUCGUG